CCUACGGGUGGCAGCAGUGGGGAAUAUUGCGCAAUGGGCGCAAGCCUGAUGCAGUAAUGCCGCGUGAAGGAAGAAGGCUUUCGGGUUGUAAACUUCUAUGACAGGGGAAGAAAAGAAGACCGUACCCUGAAAACAAACCACGGCUAACUACGUGCCCGCAGCCGCGGUAAUACGUAGGUGGCAAGCGUUUUCCGGAGUUACUGGGUGGAAAGGGAGUGUAGCCGGGAAGGCAAGUCAGAUGUGAAAUCCGGAGGCUCAACCUCCGAAUUGCAUUUGAAACUGUUUUGCUUGAGUACUGGAGAGGCAGACGGAAUUCCUUGUGUAGCGGUGAAAUGCGUAGAUAUAAGGAGGAACACCAGUGGCGAAGGCGGUCUGCUGGACAGCAACUGACGGUGAGGCGCGAAAGCGUGGGGAGCAAACAGGAUUAGAUACCCGAGUAGUC
rnacentral:rRNA from 1 species